ACUUUUUGAGAACUUCGCAUGACGACGAUUCCGUAGAUUUACUUUUUCCAGUGAAAGCUUCAUCUGUUGAUAUUUACUGUGAACGUUUUGUGUAUAUUUAAAUAUAUUCAGCUAUGUUAAAAGACAUGUGUAAUGUCAAAUCAUAAAAAUACUAAGUGUUUAUUCUUAAAGAAAACUUGUAAGAUUUCCACAGCUGUUUUUGUUGAAUAUGUGCAAUUUGUGUACUCAGUGCAAUUUGGGUACUGUUACGUUAUAUCUGUUCUCUACAGAGCUAAGUAUUUAGUGACAAUCUAUUUUCGUAUUGGAUAAUGUAUCUGGUCUAAAAAAAAAUAGUUUGCCACAAGUAUUUAGUGACAAUUAUCUAUUCCUGUAUUAGAUGAUGUAUCUGGUGUGAUUUUUUUAUUAUUUUACCACUGAAUGAAUCACCAAUCAAACUAUAUAAAUAGAUUGAAGUUAAAAAAAAUAUCUGGAAAAUUAACUGAAUCCCAAGACAGAAUGAAUAAUAUAAUUAUAACUUUUUUGUUAUGCCCAACUGCUAGUCGAAGGGGCAUUAACUUUUACUGUUGUCAUGAUGUCCAUCCAUUUAUAUGUCUGUCUGUACAGAAAUUGGUUUCCAUUUUCUUACUUUAUUUGCACUCAAUUAUUUUUUUCACAGAACACAGAUCAAUUUAUUCGAAUUUGAGUGGCAUCACUUUGACCGUUCGUGAGUUAUGCCCCUUUAUUAACGCAAAAAUUGCUGAAUCUUUCUUUUCUUGUCUCUAACUUUAGUUUGUCCCAACAAAUGUUAUAAAACUUAUACACUACUUAUUACCACAAAACACAGAUCAAGUUUGAAUUUGACUCCCGUCACUGUAACCGUUCUUGAGUUACAUGUAUUUAUGCUCCUUUAUUAUUAAAUGGAAAAAAUUGCCAAAUCUGUGGUGGAUCCGACAAACUGUUGUAUACCUAUUUUAUUUAUUUAGAUAUGAUUUACAAACUUCAGAAAAGGUUGAGAAGCAUUUUAAUUCUAGGGAAUUCCAACCUGAAGCAAGUUGUACCAAUGGAAUUGAUGGAAGCCCCCAUUAGAACACUGUGCAUAACUGGGGUUGCAACUUCACCAUCUCAUACAGCAUCUAGUUCAUCAAAGAUGACCUAUGCUGAAGUGGUGAGACUUCCUGUGCAUGCAACAGGUCAGACCAAACUAAAACCACGUUUGAUAUUAAGUGUAUGGAAAUGAAGAAAUCAAUUGGAGUCCCUACAUUUAAAAGGAGGAGUGUGUCUUCAGUUGAGAUUGGUAGAAAAAAAGAAAAAACAAUACAGGGUAAAGACAAGUGAUCUAGUAUUUGGGGUCACAGAGGAUGUGGCUGUAGUCCUACCAAACAAAGCUUUACUGGAACAUAGUUUUUAUCAGACUCACAUAAAAAAGCAACUGCUUGAACCCAUAUCAAUGCAGCCUACGAAGAAAAUGUCUGUGAUGAAGAAAGAAGAAAAGGCAGAAUUCAGACAGACAGAGAUUCGUCAUUUCAGAUACCAAAUAAAGAAAAUGCUGUUGAGGAACAGGGGAGUUUCUGU